GCCGGUCCUCGGUAGUGGCCCCCGGGGGGAAGCCCCGGGUGCUUCGAUCGAAGACCGGC
rfam:Streptomyces swartbergensis strain HMC13 scaffold288.1, whole genome shotgun sequence.